GUUGGAACGCUAUCAAACCAACCGUGAGCAGGUCUGCUUUUUAUCCCUCUGAGCCUGCUCGUGUGCGUAAGCACAGGGGGAUCCAAUCCUUCCACUGCCUUGGCUACAGGUGGCACAAACCUAACCCGAAUGAGCUGGAGAGUGGGGAUCCUUCACCAGUGUCGCUGGGCUUUGGGACACUUGCUUCUCCUGAACAGCUUCUCCUUGGUGCUCAGGCCAGUCGUGCCACGAGGGACCGUGCUUUACAGGUUGUCAUCAGCCACGUGCAGCCCUCAGGCAGGGCUAGAAGCAGGAAGGAACUCCCCUCGCCGGGUUCCCAGCUGGAAAAUGGCCAAGGGCCUCCACCAGGACCAACCCCGCAAUCUGACAAGGCGGCUUUGUGAGCCCAGUGCCCCAGGAACUUUGGGCAGCUCCCCUGACAAAGAGAAUUCUGCCGGAUACAAGGAGACAUGGGCAACAGCAGAAGCCAGUCGGGGCCGAGGUUUUGUUCACAGUUUCUCCCCGAGGAGCAGGCCGAGAUCGAUGGGUUGUUUGACGCUCUGUCAUCGGAGAAGCAGCGCCCAGAUACCUCCCCCAGGUCCUUCUCUCUGAAGGCACUAAAGAGCCACCUAGGGGAAGCCCUUCCCCCGGAGAUGGUCACAAGACUGUACGAUGGCAUGCGGAGCCUCGACCUGCCGGGGAAGGCAAAGGGGCCCAGCGAGAGCGUCUCCCGGGAGCAGUUCACAAUGUUCAUGUCCCACUUACUGAAGGGAAGCUCCGAGGAGAAGAGUCUUGUGAUCAUGAAAAUGAUUUCUGCCACAGAAGGUCCCGUGAAAGCGAGAGAAGUCCAGAAGUUCACGGAGGAUCUGGUUGGCUCUGUACUGCACGUGCUAAACUACAGACAGGAGCUGAGAGGCUGGACCCAGAAGAUGGGCCCGGGCCCCCCGCCCGGGGUGCAGGUGCUGGCCGCCCAGCUCUUCUCCGAGAUGGAACUCCGAGGCAACAAGGAGCUUCCGGGGCCUCAGCAGCUGGACUGUGACUGUGACCGAGCCGUGAUCGAGGACUGGGUGUUCAGGGCCCCCCACGUGGCCACGUUCCUGAGCGUGGUCGUCCACAGAGGCUUUCUCCUCCCGCGCUUGUCCCUCGAUCUGGCCCCCCUGGUCCCUGAGCAUCACGUGGACCAGGAGAGGGUGUUUGAGAGCAUCCUGGACGUGCCGUCGGUCAUCUACGUCAACGCCCACCUGCCCAGGGAGCAGCGACACCGCUGGCACCUGCUCUUCUCGUCUGAGCUCCACGGGCACAGCUUCGCCCAGCUCUGUGGGCGCAUCACCCACCAGGGCCCCUGCGUGCUGCUGCUCGAGGACCGUGAUGGCCACGUGUUCGGUGGGUUUGCGUCCUGCUCCUGGGAGGUCAAGCCUCAGUUUCAAGUGCUGUUCUGGAUGUGGUCAGGAGAAAGGAGACGCUGCCUCAUGUGGUCUGGCGCUUCCUGGGUUUCUUCUGUGAUUCUGGCAGCAGAGGAAGGCAGAGAGGACAGGGAUCCCGACCCCGGAUUCAGGCCAGGCAGCGGUGGCCCGGCAUUAAUAAACAGCGCUGGGUCCGGGCCACGGGGAGGCUGGGGGCUUGGGCUGCUCCUGUCCGAUGGGUGUCUCCUCCACGGGCCGCCCCCCUUCCUGGACAGCCCGUCCCCUGCCCGUGAGUCUGCGUUGCUGUUUCUUUCUUUCCCUUCUGCCCUGGUUUUUCAGUCUUGUGACUUCGUUGUAAUUCGAACGCUCUUGAUGUGACUUUCGGUGCACUGGACGGCGGUCUCUUAAGGAAAUUUUUCCGCUUCCGUAAAGAAAAGUGCUCUGAUAAACAUUUUUAAAGGACCGUUCAUCUCCUGGGCAGCAGGCUGCUCACACACUCAGAAGUGAUGUCCCUGCGUGAGCCCCGGCGUGUGGCCCCAGAGGGUCUCCUUGGCUGUGAAACGGGCCUUUCCUGGAGGUUCUGGGAGACCCGACGCAGCAGCCCUGUCCUCACGCCCAGGAGUCAAAUGGUUAAUACCGGCCCUGAACAGGUCCUUAGACAUGACAGACGGGGUGGAAAGGCAGUCCCUUGGGGACAGGGACUGCAUGUCUGAACUAGGUCAUCUGUUCGUCCCCAGCCUUCUCUCCAUGCCACUCUGUGGGGGCCUCCUGACCAGCCCCCUGGUUUCCCUCUCACCUUCCGGUCCAUCCAUCGUGUCCCAGCGCGUCUGACAUGCUGCCCUUCCUCUGAGACCCUGAACGCUGCCCACAGGAGGUCGCCUCUUCUCUCCAGCCUCCUGACCCGCGCCUGUCCCCUGGUGCUUUGUGUGCAGUCUCCCCGGACCCCCUGCAAGCGGCACCCUCCCAUCCUCUGACUCGGCACACGCUUCUCUUCCUCUCCCCCCGACCUGUUGGCAUGGCCUCCUCGUUGGGACUCAGCGCAAGGUCACCUCCUCCAGGAAGCCUUCCCAAACGUGGGAGGGCCAUGUGCUUUCUGCGCAUCCUCUGUCGCACUGCACACCUCUGCACACCUUCCUCCACUCCGCGAGCUUCUGCGGGCCGGGACGUCGUGUCCAGGUGGCACAGCUGCCAUUACUGGGUCGGUGGAAGGAGCUGAAUCCCUGAGCUCCUGUUUGUUCUAGGAUUUGCUUUUCUCUGGGUUUCAGAAUGUCCUAGAUCUUGAAUCCAGUUGCUGCCACCAGCCCUUCUCCACUGUGUCCGGGACCCCCAAGACUGCCCACGUGUCAGUGACUCCCUCGGAGCACCUGCAGGUCUCAGGCUACGGUCCUCCUCGUGGCCGUGAUUUAUUACGGCAAGAGGACACGGGGCAAGGUCGGCAAAGGGACAGGGGCCAGCUUCCAGAGCCCUCUCCCCCGGGGUCACACGGGACACGCUCAGUUCCCCAGCAAUGAGGCGUGAGAGCACAUGUGAGGUGCCGCCCACCAGGGCUGCUCGGUAGGGACUCAGCGCCCCGGGUUUUAUCGGGGGGCCGGUCACGUGAGCGCCCUCUGCCCGGCACGUGCCCAAAUCCCAGAGUUCCGGGACGAAAGCAGGUGCUCGGCCUCAACCACACCGUUUGCACAAAAGUGUCGGCCUGGGGAGCCGCUCUCGCCAGCUCUGGGAGUGGGGGACCCUCCAAGCCCCCAGAUGGCGGCUGAGCGACCCUUCUGGGGGCCGCAGUCUCAGCCCUGUUGCGUUAGCUCACCUCUCGUCCCCACCCUCCUUGUCACCGUGUCUGGGGGAACGAAUGGGGCAUCCUCCCCCCUCCCGGCCCUGCUCAAGGCCUUGGGGGAGUGACAGGUGCUGUCCGUACGGUUGGGGCUCGGCCUCAGCAUUUGGAAGAACACGCCUAUGAGUCGCAUGGACUUCCGCCCCUCCCAGCCCCUUUGGCAUUAACUCCAGGCUGUCUCCGCUGGUUUUAACGUUUUAUUAGCGAGCGGGCUUAGUCUUCAGUAAGAAGGGUGGAAAAACGCCAGCUCCCAACUUUCCAACGCCAGUCCCUGCUGUUCCGAGACGUGAGGGCAGAGGUCCAGCAGAGGGCAGCCUCGCGUCCCAGAUGCAGGUCAGGUUCAGCGCAGGAGCUGCCCUCACUGCUUGACGUUGCGGGCCUGACGUGUCGUAGCAGCUGCCGAGUCGCUUCCGUUUUGCUUCCGUUUCUGUGGUGCGGUGGACAGACCGGCGGCUUUGGGCCGAGCAGACGGUCUCCCCGGUGCCGGGCGGGGGGCUCGCCUUCCCCGGCCUGGGCUCCCCGGAACCGCACGAACUGGUGCUGCGUGGAAAGGCCGCCUGUGAGCGCCGCGGGUGGUGGCAGGUGCUGAACCCACGGCUGUCCCUUGGGUAGCAGGUAUCCCUGACGUGACCUAGAUGAGCCUUCUCUGGUGGCUUGAUGGCUUUGCAGCCGAUAAUGACUCCGUGGACCCUCGCCCCUAGGGAGGGAGCCCCCACGUGGCCCUCCCGACACGGCCCUCCCCGCGAGAGCACACCCGGAUGCCCUCGAAGGAGGCCCCCUGCCGCCGACCAUGUGCACUUGGCGGGCCUGUCGCCUCGCUUAGCGUCUGGGACCAAGGAAGUGUUGCUGGAAAGCCAGCCUUGGGGUUGCAGGACAAAGUGAUGCUUGCACGGGCCCCCGGGGCAGCAGGGUGGGACCAGGCAGUUCAUCGGCCCGAAAACACCCCGGCCUUCUGGGGCUACAUAAGCCCGUGGACUCAAGCCGGAGUCUUUCACCUGGAGUAAAGCCCUCUGUGGUGUGGCCCCAGGCUCAUCUGUCUUGUCCUCUGACCCCGGCGCUCACAAACCCCGCAGUGUGGCCAGGGGCCCCUCGGUUCCUGGCCUGCCCAUGUCUUGUCCCAGCACGGGGUCCCUCCUCCAGGAAGUGCUUUCUCUCAGCCGCCUCUGGUCCAGGAUGUCCCUCGUGACCUUGGGUCCACACCCCUCUCCUCGUGGAUCUCUCUGGAUUGGAGGCCUAAGGGUUUCCUGCCCAGACUCUGCCAGCUGAGGUAUCCCCCCCCCACCCCACCCCGCAGAGCCCUCUGGGACUCGAACCCCCUUUCAUAUCCACCCUCAGCAUUCAUGCUGCCGGACUGCUCCUUCCCACGUCGCGAGCGGCCCGACCCCAAAGUACUGGCAGCUGGUUGUUGAGUUUCUUGUACAGGUGAUUUGAUAUCAGGUGCCUUCACGAUGUCCCCGGGGAGCCAGGCCUCAGGGCCGCCUUCUCACAACUGUGGGGAGUAUCCCCUGUUUGGUCCCCACCCAGGGAGGUCCCUGGCGCCCCCCCCCCCCCCCCACGCCACUGUGGCCUCCAUCCCUGUCCGUGGUGCUGACGGUGCUGGUGGAGAGGAAAUCGCUGCAGGCAGGAGGGAGUCCCUGAGCCUUAGGAUGCUGGUCAUUUCCAGAGUGUUGACCGCCGUCUUCCCUGAGGGGCACACACACGUCCACACUCGUGCCCGGAGGGGAGUCAGAGGGUCACGGCUGCCCGUGUGUUCCCUUUCCGGCCGCAAGUGCCCUGGGGGCCGCUGUGCACCUGCAGGCUUUCCCCCGCCCCGGAGGACGCAUUCCUUCAGGCUGGGGACACAUCCACUCAGUGUCAUGUGCCCACUGGAGGGGGCUGUGCUGGUGAGGCUCCUGCGUGAAGGGGAGACUGCUCUUUUGACUUGAGUGCACUCGGGGACGACAGGUGCUUCCUGUUCUCCACCUCCCCCCGCAUGGCUGUGUAUACCUCCACAGGCUACAACGACCACUACAUGUACCUGAAUCACGGGCAGCAGACCAUCCCAAACGGCCUGGUAA